GUAAGGUGCGUUGCUUCCAUUAUUAUGAUGUAAAUUACAUUAUCUUUCUUACAAACCUGCAAGAGCCAUGGGUUAUUGACUAAAUAAACCAACAAGUACAACAACCAUAUUCAUUCUCUUGUAAUCGGUUUUAAAACUGAUCACAGACCCACAAACUUGGUUCAUGCCCAUGCUUUCUAGUUGGCAUUUUAAGUAACUUGGUUUGUUCCAUGUGAUCCUACUUUCCAUCAAUAAAAACUCACACUUACAUACAUAUCCUAAACCCUUGAAAGCUCACAAGAAUUUCCUAACUCUCUCUCAUUCCUCACGGCUCCCCACCUCCCUACACAAACCAAACCAAACCAACCUCUAACUCUCAAGCUUCAAGUGUUUCAAGUGUGAUUCAAGUUUUAGUCUCAAAUCCUUGAGAUCCUUGCUUGAUUUGAGGAACGAGUAGGUCGGUUCACGUAGACGCGGACUUUGCUAUUUGCUUGUCAUUUGUUGUAUUUGGAGCUUAUGCUUGCUGACCAGGUUGCAUUAUCAAAACUAUGGAACGGUUGGAAUAGGAGAACCCAUGGG